UACGGAGGGUGCAAGCGUUAUCCGGAUUCACUGGGUUUAAAGGGUGCGUAGGCGGGCAGGUAAGUCAGUGGUGAAAUCCCCGAGCUUAACUCGGGAACUGCCGUUGAUACUAUCUGUCUUGAAUACCGUGGAGGUGAGCGGAAUAUGUCAUGUAGCGGUGAAAUGCUUAGAUAUGACAUAGAACACCAAUUGCGAAGGCAGCUCGCUACACGGUCAUUGACGCUGAGGCACGAAAGCGUGGGGAUCAAACAGGAUUAGAUACCCUGGUAGUCCACGCCCUAAACKAUGAUUACUCGACAUCAGCGAUACACUGUUGGUGUCURAGCUAACGCAUUAAGUAWUCCACCUGGGAAGUACGAUCGCAAGAUUGAAACUCAA
rnacentral:rRNA from 1 species